UACAGGGGGGGCAAGCGUUGUUCGGAAUUACUGGGCGUAAAGGGCUCGUAGGCGGCCAACUAAGUCACACGUGAAAUCCCCAGGCUUAACCUGGGAACUGCGUGUGAUACUGGAUGGCUUGAAUCCGGGAGAGGGAUGCAGAAUUCCAGGUGUAGCGGUGAAAUGCGUAGAUAUCGAGAGGAACACCUGCGGCGAAGGCGGGUAGCUGGGCCGACACUGACGCUGAGGCGCGAAAGCCAGGGGAGCGAACGGG
rnacentral:rRNA from 1 species